UACGAAGGGGGCUAGCGUUGCUCGGAAUUACUGGGCGUAAAGCGCACGUAGGCGGUCUUUUAAGUCGGGGGUGAAAUCCUGGAGCUCAACUCCAGAACUGCCUUCGAUACUGGAAGACUCGAGUCCGGGAGAGGUGAGUGGAACUGCGAGUGUAGAGGUGAAAUUCGUAGAUAUUCGCAAGAACACCAGUGGCGAAGGCGGCUCACUGGCCCGGUACUGACGCUGAGGUGCGAAGGCUAGGGGAGCGAACGGGG
rnacentral:rRNA from 1 species